rnacentral:rRNA from 1 species
GACGAACUGUGCAAACGUUAUUCGGAAUCACUGGGCUUGAAGAGUGCGUAGGCGGUUUCGUAAGUAGGGUGUGAAAGCCCCCAGCUCAACUGGGGAACUGCGUCCUAAACUGCGAGGCUGGAGUGAGGUAGGGGUGUGUGGAACUUCCGGUGGAGCGGUGAAAUGUGUUGAUAUCGGAAGGAACGCCGGUGGCGAAAGCGACACACUGGGCCUUGUCUGACGCUGAGGCACGAAAGCCAGGGGAGCAAACGGG